GGCCUGAUGGUCUAGUAGUAUGAUUCCUUGUUAGGGUUCGACGCUUAGCGUCACGUGUAGUCACGUGCCUCGAGGAGGUCCUGGGUUCAAUUCCCAGUUAGGCCC